CAGAAAGCUAUGCCGGUUGCAGGUGUCUCAUUACCACCUCUAUCCCAGCCCUGAGCCUGGGAGCCAGACUGCUUCCUGCUCCCCAGCCUUACCAGGCAAGGCUCUCCCAGAGAAGCUCCUGUUACCAAGUUUGUAACCAGAACUGACAGCACUGCACCCUCCCUGCCUCAUAGGAAAAGCAUCAGGGACUGAGGAGCCUCCCAGGACAGGCAAGGGCCUCCUCCCAGCAGCACCAGUCAGGAAACAUCACCAUAGCAACCCUAGCAGCAAACAAUGGUACCAGAAAGGGCUUGCCUCCAAAGCCUCCUCUCCUGGCUCUGUGGCUCAGAAGAAAAAUGGCCAACAGCCCGAAGAAAACAUCCCUCCAGAAGCGAGACCUGAGCCAUGUAUCUCCUACCAGGGAACCUUUCCUGAAGGUCCCAGUACAUAUCUACUGGUGGAAGGCUUGUUCCUUGGGGCCUCCAGUUCCUACCCAACCCACUUCCCAAUAAUUUCAGCAAGAACUGGCCCUGCCCAAAUCUUCAACCUCAUUACCAGGAGACGAUCCUGAAACUGGCUCGACUGCCCACUGUACCCCUGAGCGAAGACCUUGUGAAGGACUACCAAGCCCUGAUUAAAAACCGGUUGGCCAUACCGGUCCACUACCUAUCCAAGGCAGGACCAGCUAAAACAUCAGAGGGAAGGAGGAAAAGGAGACCUGGACAUGUCUGAAAGAAGAGUCCAUAGUGGGCCUUAGGGUUUGCAGCCUAGCCUUCUUCAGCCAAGAGACUCCAGGAGACUAAGGACUCUGGGCCUAAAGAAUAACCUUUCCACCAGCCUCCAGCCUCUUGUCACCUCUGUAUCAGGCUUCUGGAGAUGUUACUGAAGCUCUG
rnacentral:lncRNA from 1 species